rnacentral:rRNA from 1 species
UACAGAGGUCCCAAGCGUUGUUCGGAUUCACUGGGCGUAAAGGGUGCGUAGGCGGUCGGGUAAGUCUGACGUGAAAUCUUCAAGCUCAACUUGGAAACUGCGUCGGAUACUAUUCGGCUGGAGGAAUGGAGGGGAGACUGGAAUACUUGGUGUAGCAGUGAAAUGCGUAGAUAUCAAGUGGAACACCAGUGGCGAAGGCGAGUCUCUGGACAUUUCCUGACGCUGAGGCACGAAAGCCAGGGGAGCAAACGGGAUUAGAAACCCCCGUAGUCC